rnacentral:rRNA from 1 species
AACGAACGCUGGCGGCAUGCCUAACACAUGCGAGUCGAACGAGACCUUCGGGUCUAGUGGCGCACGGGUGCGUAACGCGUGGGAACCUGCCUUUAGGUUCGGAAUAACUCAGAGAAAUUUGAGCUAAUACCGGAUGAUGUCUUCGGACCAAAGAUUUAUCGCCUUUAGAUGGGCCCGCGUUGGAUUAGCUAGUUGGUGGGGUAAAGGCCUACCAAGGCGACGAUCCAUAGCUGGUCUGAGAGGAUGAUCAGCCACACUGGGACUGAGACACGGCCCAGACUCCUACGGGAGGCAGCAGUGGGGAAUAUUGGACAAUGGGCGAAAGCCUGAUCCAGCAAUGCCGCGUGAGUGAUGAAGGCCUUAGGGUUGUAAAGCUCUUUUACCCGAGAUGAUAAUGACAGUAUCGGGAGAAUAAGCUCCGGCUAACUCCGU